rnacentral:rRNA from 1 species
CUCCUACGGGAGGCAGCAGUAGGGAAUCUUCCACAAUGGGACGAUAGUCUGAUGGAGCAACGCCGCGUGAGUGAAGAAGGUUUCGGCUCGUAAAACUCUGUUGUUAAAGAAGAACAUAUCUGAGAGUAACUGUUCAGGUAUUGACGGUAUUUAACCAGAAAGCCACGGCUAACUACG